UGCGAAUGAACAAGGAACUGCUCAGCUUGAAAAUUGGGGCCUUCGGCCUUGAAUUGUAAUUUUGAAAUGUAUUGCCAAUGGAGGCGCAGGUGCAAGCCUAUUGAAAGAAAGCGUCAAUGAGGGUGAGAUUCCUUUUUGUCAUUUGCAGUCCUCCGUGCACGGUAUAUAUUUGACGAGUCACACUCCUCGGCAUUGGAAUGCAAAGUGGGUGGUAAAUUCCAUGUAAAGGAAAAUAUAUUAUUGAGACUGAUAGCAAACAAGUACCAUGAGGGAAAUAUGAAAAGGACUUUGAAAAGAGAAUUAAAAGAGUCUGCAUUUGCUGAACAGAAAGCAAACAGAAUUGAUCUACUUGGUGAGAUUGUUGCGUCCACUUGUGGGCGCAAUGGUUCUUACCUUGAAUGUCAGCGUCUAUUUCUGCAAAUCAUUACCCUUGCACAUGAAUGGUAAUUUGCCUGUGGGUAUUGGAAUGCAUGUGUUUGCAAUGAUUUGUGAUUUGAUACGUGUGUCUGGUGUUCUUGUGUGUGCCUUCUUGCCAAAAGGGGAGGGCUCUCCUCCCUGGGCACUGCAAGCCCUUGCACAUUGUUGCUGGCAAAAUGUUUCUGCUUGACCCGUCUUGAA
rnacentral:rRNA from 1 species